UGAAGCUUCUGCACUGUUGCUGCCGAAGGAGGAGGAAGCCUUGCCAUUGUUCUGGUCGCCAGGAGCAGUCCGGUGGCUACCGGAACCACUGUCGGGGAUGCUGCCGCUUGGCUCAGUCACUUCUCCUUAGUUACGGGCUGAGUUCGAGUUAUGGCAUGUCACGGUUAGAGUUGUUGUUGCUGUUACGAGUAGUUGGGGCUGAGGUUGCCUCCGUCGCCGGAGCUGUGCCGGGGCCGGUUCGAAACCGCAGCUGCUUCGUGUUGUUAUUCCGAGCUGUUUAUGCUGCUGCGAAAAUGUGUGGGGCUGUGCUUUGAAGCUGCCUUUGAUUUUGAGUUGAGGUGAAAAGAACUUAUGAGGCGCUUGGAUUAUGGAAUUGUGUUUUGAGGAUAUGGGCGCAGAAGUUACAAAGAGCUUAUUUAAUUGUUGUUGUGAUGCUCUGUAUUG